UUGACAGAACAUAAUGCACAGAGGGCGCAAGCCCCACGCGGGAUGCGAUUCCUAUCUAUCAGCUCGUUGGAAAUGUAUUGGAUUUCCAAGGCCUUGACGGAUAACGAGGUUACGGGGAACGACUUCGGAGAGAAGGCAUGAGAUUCGGCCUUCAUAUCUAAGGAAAGCAGCAGUGGCGUAAAUUACCCAAUGUACAUUUGUACGAGGUAGUGACAGUCAAUAUUGUAGUUCUCACCUUCUGGUGCGAACUAUUUGAAAUGGACGAGUUUUAAAACCACUCGUGAGGAUCAAUUGGAGGGCAAGUCUGGUGCCAGCAGCCGCGGUAAUUCCAGCUCCAAGAGCAAAAUUUGAUUCUGCUGAAGUUAAAAAGCUCGUAGUUGAAAUUUAAUUUCCACCUCGUCCUGCGAGAUCGCAAGAUCACACGUUUCGAUGUGGAAAUUUUUGCAUGGGACUGUUUGCGUAUUUAUUUACGCUCUCAUGAUCAUGCCUGUUACUGUGAGGAAAUCCGAACGCUCAAAGCAGCCGCAAGGUUGAAGAGGUCAGCACGGAAUGAUGAGAUACGACAUGAUUUAUUUUGUUGGUUCUUAAGUUGUGUAAUGGUUGCAGGAACAGUUGGGGGUAUUCGUAUUGGAGAGCUAGAGGUGAAAUUCUGGGAUUUCUUCAAGACGAACGUCUGCGAAAGCAUUUACCAAGGAUGUUUUCAAUAAUCAAGAACGAAAGUUGGGGGAUCGAAGAUGAUUAGAUACCAUCGUAGUCUCAACCAUAAACGAUGCCGACUACCAAUUGUCAAGCCUUUUUUUGGUUUGGCAGCGGGUUAGAGAAAUUAAAGUUUUUGGGUUCUUGGGGGAGUAUGGUCGCAAGACUGAAACUUAAAGGAAUUGACGGAAGGGCACACCAGAAGUGGAACUUGCGGCUUAAUUUGACCCAACACGGGAAAACUUACCAGGGCCGGACUUUUAUAGGAUUGACAGAUUGAAAGCUCUUUCAUGAUCAAAAGGGUGGUGGUGCAUGGCCGUUCGUAGUUGGUGGAGUGAUUUGUCUGGUUAAUUCCGUUAACGAACGAGACCGACGUCGCAUAAUAGGUUUUGCUAUUUCACGGUAGUGUAAACCUUCUUUGCGAGACAAGUUUGUUUUACAAGCUGGAAGCAGUCGGCAAUAACAGGUCUGUGAUGCCCUUAGAUGUUCUGGGCCGCACGCGAGUUACAUUGGAAGCGUCAAUUGGUCUUGCUUGGCCGAAAGGUCACGGCGAAUCCUAAAUUGCUUCCGUAUUGGGGCUUGAUUUUUGCAAUUAUGAAUCACCAACGAGGAAUUUCUUGUAAAGGCAGUUCAUCAGACUGUCUUGACUACGUCCCUGCCCUUUGUACACACCGCCCGUCGCACCUACCGAUUGUGUUCUUGGUUGAAAUCUCGGGAGGAAUCUUUUUUGGACGUUAAACUCCAGUUAAGAAUCCGAACUUGAUUAAAAUCUAGAACAUAGAGGAAGGUGAAGUCGUAACAAGGUC
rnacentral:rRNA from 1 species